rnacentral:rRNA from 1 species
CAAUAGCGUAUAUUAAAGUUGUUGCAGUUAAAAAGCUCGUAGUUGAAUUUCUGUCAGGAGUGACCGGGCCUUUGGAUGAACUUCCAUUGUUUUUUGCUUUGUUUGUCAUCUCUAGACAUCCUGAAAUAUUUUUUAAAAAUAUUUCUCUUUUACUGUUAGCAAAAUAGAGUGUUCCAAGCAAAGCGUAGUUUUGAAUACAUUAGAAUGGAAUAAUAAGAUAGGACUUUGGUGCUAUUUUGUUGGUUUGCACACCAAGGUAAUGAUUAAUAGGGACAGUUGGGGGUAUUCGUAUUUAAUUGUCAGAGGUGAAAUUCUUGGAUUUAUGAAAGACGAACUACUGCGAAAGCAUUUACCAAGGAUGUUUUCAUUAA